rnacentral:rRNA from 1 species
CACUGCUCUGACGGAUGCUUUUAUUAGACCAAGCCGCUGAGGACUUGGGGGUUCGCUCUCUUGUCUGACUCGUGUAAUGGUGACUCUGGAUAACCAAAUUUCUGACAAGCGCACGUACUUCUCUUCUGAGCGAGACGGCGCUGCCACUUUCGAGUGUCUGCCUUAUCAGCUAUCAACCGUUCGUUAUGCGCGACCGAUGGCUUUGACGGGUAACGGGGAAUCAGGGUUCGAUUCCGGAGAGGCAGCCUGAGAGACGGCUACCACGUCCAAGGACGGCAGCAGGCACGCAAAUUACCCAAUCCCAGCAAAUGGGGGAGGUAGUGACGAAAUCUAACGAUGCGGGCGCCCUUUCUGGGGCCCCGCAAUCGGAAUGGGCACUUUCUAAACAACCUGUUGAGAACCUACUGAAGGGCAAGUCUGGUGCCAGCAGCCGCGGUAAUUCCAGCUUCAGCAGCAUCUAUUAAAGUUGCUGCGGUUAAAAGGCUCGCAGUUGAAUGUCUGUAUCGAGCGCAGGUCAGGUGGACGUUGGGGCGUGGAAGUACGGGCAGUUGGAUGUCCGGAGGGCCUUCGUGCUCGACGGCUCCUUCGGCUUUUCCACACACCCCCGUCCGUGACAAGCCUCCUCGCUCGGGUACAUAACGGGAAUCGGUCAAACGGAGUGUGGUCGGGGGUUGAGGCGCGUGACUUCGGUUGCGUGUUUCUUCUCUCGUCUGCGUUAAGCUCCAUCGGUUUCACGGUCACCUUGAGUAAAUCAGAGUGCUCAAAGCAGUCGUAGGGGCCUUGCGCCCUGUGAACAGUCUUGACGGACUGACUUGGUUUUGCAUGGCAUGUCGGAAGACGACGUCGUGUGCUGGCUCAGAGGAUAUAUCAGUGGUACAAGCCAGCCUCGACGUAAUGAUUAAAAGGGACGGUCGAGGGCAUUGGUAUUGCGAGGCGAGAGGUGAAAUUCUGUGACCCCCGCAAGACCUCCUGAAGCGAAAGCGUCUGCCAAGGACGUUUUCAUUAAUCAUGAACGAAAGUUAGAGGAUCGAAGGCGAUCAGAUACCGCCCUAGUUCUAACCCUAAACGAUGCCAACCAUCAAUCCGCGCGUAGCACCCUUCUUAACGGGCUCGGCGGGCAGCUCCCCACUCACGGGAAACCAGAGCCUCUGGGUUCCGGGGGGAGUCUGGUUGCAAAGCUGAAACUUAAAGGAAUUGACGGAAAGGCACCACCAGGCGUGGAGCCUGCGGCUUAAUUUGACUCAACACGGGCCAUCUCACCAGGCCAGCACUCUUGUACGAUUGACAGAUUGAGAGCUCUUUCUCGAUUCGUGGAUGGUGGUGCAUGGCCGUUCUUAGUUGGUGGAGUGAUCUGUCUGGUUAAUUCCGAUAACGAACGAGACUCUCCCCUGCUAACUAGUCGGUUGGAUCUUGAUCAGCGGGUUGCGUGCCGAGUAACUCUCGCUGUGCGUGGUGCGUAGCUGGGCCUCACGGUUCGUUGCGUGCUCGCGUGGUGUUGGAUGCCUUGGAUCACACUGCACCCCAAGUCCGCCGCUUAUGCUAUAACUCUUCUUAGAGGGAUUCACGGCACUGAAGCCGUAAGAGACUGAGAGCAAUAACAGGUCUGUGAUGCCCUUAGAUGCUCUGGGCCGCACGCGCGCUACAAUGCCGGGCACAGCAGGUGUUUCUCCUUCUCCGACAGGAGCGGGUAACCCCUCUGAAAGCCAGUGUUCUUGCAAGUGCUUCCUCCCUCGUGGAGUUGCACAGAGGCGUGCUUGGGCCUGGGACUUGCAAUUCUUUCCCACCAACGAGGAAUGCCUAGUA